UACGGAGGAUCCAAGCGUUAUCCGGAUUUAUUGGGUUUAAAGGGUGCGUAGGCGGAUUGAUAAGUUAGAGGUGAAAUGUCCGAGCUCAACUCGGGAACUGCCUCUAAUACUGUUGAUCUAGAGAGUAGAUGCGGUAGGCGGAAUGUAUGGUGUAGCGGUGAAAUGCUUAGAGAUCAUACAGAACACCGAUUGCGAAGGCAGCUUACCAAUCUAUAUCUGACAUUGAGGCACGAAAGCGUGGGGAGCAAACAGG
rnacentral:rRNA from 1 species